UACGUAGGGGGCAAGCGUUAUCCGGAUUUACUGGGUGUAAAGGGAGCGUAGACGGCCAGACAAGUCAGAAGUGAAAGCCCAGGGCUCAACCCUGGGACUGCUUUUGAAACUGCCGGGCUGGAGUGCAGGAGGGGUAAGCGGAAUUCCUAGUGUAGCGGUGAAAUGCGUAGAUAUUAGGAGGAACACCAGUGGCGAAGGCGGCUUACUGGACUGUAACUGACGUUGAGGCUCGAAAGCGUGGGGAGCAAACAGG
rnacentral:rRNA from 1 species